rnacentral:lncRNA from 1 species
UCCUCUGGAUUAUUUUCCAACAUGUCCUUCUCGUUCCCAUCCAUUACACUGUUGCCAGUGCGUCCCCAGCUGUCCUUUUUGCCUCCAAAAUAAACUUGCCUUCGGUUACUGUGUCCCUUCUUGUUCUUUUUGCCCACACCCGUCCACUGCACCAGACGGACCAACACCUGAAACAACUAAACCAGUCACCGAAAUUACCAAUCCAGGAAGCGAAACAUCUGAAACAACCAAACCAGGAAG